AUUGUUCAACAACAGAAUGAAGGGUGGAGUGAAUGAUAAUGUGACCAUGACUGCCUACAUAACUGCAUCACUGCUUGAACUGGAAACUCCAGUCACAGAUCCUGUCGUCACUAAAGGUUUGUCCUGCUUGAGGUCCGUCAUUAAGGAUGUCAAAAACACUUACACCACUGCUCUGCUCGC